rnacentral:rRNA from 1 species
GACGAACGCUGGCGGCGUGCCUAAUACAUGCAAGUCGAACGCAGUGGGGACGGGUGAGUAACACGUGGGUAACCUCCCAUCAGAGGGGAUAACACUUGGAAACAGGUGCUAAACCGAUACUGAUGGAUGGAACCGCGGUGCCUGAGCUAGUUGGUGAGGGAACGGCUCACCAAGGCCCCGAUGCAUAGCCGACCUGAUAGGGUGAUCGGCCCCACUGGGACUGAGACACGGCCCAUACUCCUACGGGAGUCAGCAGUGGGGAAUUUUGGACAAUGGGCGCAAGCCUGAUCCAGCCAUGCCGCGUGUGUGAAGAAGGCCUUCGGGUUGUAAAGGACUUUUGUCAGGGAAGCGGUACCUGAAGAAUAAGCACCGGCUAACUACGUGCCAGCAGCCGCGGUAAUAC